rnacentral:piRNA from 1 species
UCCCAAUCACUGUGCCUCACUCACACAUC